rnacentral:lncRNA from 1 species
GUCUUUUAUGCGUGCAGUGAAAUCCGGCAGAUAGGCCAAGCAUGCCAGCUGCAGUUCUGAUGUUGAGUGGUGAAAGUGCAUUGCCUGAACCGGAAAAACCUGGUUUUUACAGUGAAAGGGAUUUAGAUGACAACAAAGUCGAUCCUUGUGCAAACAAGGUUACAGUUUUUUCAGCUAAUGAAGAUACAUUUACCCUACUCGAGGCUCGAUAGUUCAUAUUUCAUGUUGCUGUUUAUUUCGUCAUAACUUGAUCUGAUGUCUAUUGGAGUGAGUUAAGUUGAUCAGAUAUUUCUCGAGUAAUCCUGCUUAUACAUUUUCUUGCCUUACAUAUGCUUUGCUCUGAUAUCAGCGGUGACUCGAUUGGAGAGGAAUUCAAUCUGAUUAGAUAAUACAUUUGAAUUACUGUGAUUUGGAUUCAACAGAUUGUUCACUGUAUUUUCUAAUGUUUACUGCAGUAUGGGAUGAAGUAAUGAUUUUUUUUUUCGGCACAACUUAAUUAAACAGAGUCCAAAAAAACACCAACAUGAAAGGUAAUAAGGCAAACGACAAAGCAAACAAAGGUGCAAAACACAACCAAAAUCAGCAACCAAGAAUCAGGGAUAUUACGAGAAUGCAAAACUUCGCCGUUACCUGGAAAAACAUGAACUUUGACUAAGAAAAUCCGCAGGGAAUGACAGCGGCAUAAAAAAUAGAAGUCAGUUGUCCUGGAAUCAUUCUGAACAAGCCCUGCCAAAAUUAUAUUAUAUUAUUCCUAUAGAGUAAAUUGUAACUAUCUUCCUUUAAUUUUAACUCAAUUAGAGCAAUGGUUCAUCAAUUAAAAUUUAUUAUCAUUGGUCCCUCAACUCAUCAAAACGUGCAGCUAUGAUCAACAAUGGUCAUUCCAACAUAACUCGUUUUGACAAAAUUUUUGACGUAGUUGACGAAAAUGAUCAUAACUACACACUUUGAUGAGUUGAGGGAUCCUAAUUAUAUAAAUAGUUAUUCCAACAUAACUUAUUUUAACAAAAUUGAUGAAAAUGACUAUAAUUAUCCAUUUUAAUAAAUUGAGAGAGCAAUGAUAAUAAAUUUUUAGUUAAAGAAUCAUUGGUACAAUUUAUUAAAGGUGAGGGAGCUUUCUUCUAGCUUUUUCUCUGUUGUUCUCGCCGCUUUCACGCAUUUUGGCCCUCCUUUUGUUUGUCUCUGAAACCUUAAUUUUUCUUUUUCUCUGUUGUUCUCGCCGCUUUCACGCAUGUUGGCCCUCCUUUUGUUUUAUCUGAAACCCUAAUUUUUUUUUCCCUUCCCCAUUUUUCUUAUCUCACUGUUUCUCAAGUCGCUGAUUCCGCCCUUCUCUUCUCUCGCUCUCAAGCGUUCAGCAUCUCACGCUCUCAAGCGUUCAGCGUCUCUCGCUCUCAAACCUCGCCGAUCCGUCGAAACCCAUAUUCCUCAGCGUUUCCUCAAAAUCCAAGGUACGGGCUUCACCCAACCGUGAAUUUUUUGAAUCGUUUUUUAUUUUUUAUUUUUUAUUUUUUAUUUUUUGAGUUUUGGAUUCAUAAUUUUCUGUUCGGUAGCUGAGAAAAUGUGAUCCCGUGGUUUAGUUUUGGUGUUUUUGUGAUUUUGGGUUAGUAGGUUUUUCGAAUUUUGGGGUGUUUGUUUGUAGGCUCCAAAACCCUCUGUUCUCAAGGUAAAUAAUUUAAAAUUCUGGGGUUAUUCAAUUUAUAGUUUAGUUUAGGUUUUUUUUUAAUAAUCGGAGUUGAGUUUGGUAUUUUGUUUGUGUUUGAUUAUGUUGAAUUCGGAUUUCAGUGCACUUAUGUUUGGGUUUUAUAUUUUCCUGCAGGUCGUGAUUGAGGGAGCUUGAAAUGGCAAUUGGAAUUAAGGUCAUAAUACAUAGUAAGUGUUUGGUUUUUUCUUCUGCUACAAAGUAGAAGUUGAGAAGUCCCGUUUUUAUGUUUACUCAUCUUUCAAGAUAGUUUACGGAAUAUAUGAUGUUUUUUUCUUUAAAUUUCUAUUGCAAGGUGGCGAUUUCAAUGCCACCACAAGAUAUGGCUUUUGAGCCAAUAUACUGGUAUUGACAACCAGAAGCUAAUGGAGUGGGCAGCCAAGAUAUGGUUUUCCUGCAUUUGUAUAUGUUUGUGGAUCCAGCCUUUGACUGAAAAACAUCAUAAGAUAAAGAAGUCCCCAUAUUUUUAUGUUUACUUUUCAAGAUAGUAUUACGGAAUGUAUGUUUUUUUAUUUUUAAUUAUUUUUAAUUUUAUUUCUGCUACAAAGUGGCAAUUUCAAUGUCACCACAACAUAUGGCUUUUGAGCCAAUAUACUGGUAUUGCCAAUAGAAGCUAAUGGAGUGGGCAACCAAGAAAUACAGCAAUUUUAGUCUUAGUCUUACUUGUUUCAUUGGUGUAUUUGUACCCUUUUUUGUAUUGUGAAUCAGGCAAAAUUGAACCGCCACCUCAUGUGCCGCAGCUGCAUCAAAGGCUGGUUCUCCAACGACGUUGUUUUCUAGAGCUCUCUCUACGCAAGGUAUGCAAUUUAGAGUUUUGGCCCCGAAAAGGUAGCAUUUACCGCUGAGUUCUUCAGCUGAUUUGGGGUGGGUAUUUUUGUGGUUUAAAUAUUAUGUGUGUAGAAGUGUAAAUUUUCCUUUCUAAAUGAGCUUUCUGUUGAAAUUUCAUUUUUGUGAUUUUGGGGAUUUAUGUUGAAAUUAUUGAAAAGGAUACAAUUCUUAAAAGAAUUCAGUUUACUUCAUACUCCUUUUCAAAUUCAAAAGGAUAAAUCAAAGGCAAUAGAUUUGUAUAUUAGGUACAUUGAUUAUGUUCGUUUCUUUUUUCCAGAAACGUCAAUAUCUAUCAUCUGGUCCUCUGAAGGGGGAGUGCCUAUCAAUUUCAAAAACUAGAAAGCAACUCAUAUAAAAGUCAUAAUAGCUGCUUUCUUACUUCCAAGGUUCGUGCAUAUUUCUCCAUUUUUUCAUCGGUUACUUUUUUUAGUUACAUUUUCUUUUAUGUUCAAAAUUAUUGUGUUUCAGUGCUGUCUUUGUAUAUCAACUUCGAAAUUCAAACACAAAUGGACAAUAUUAAUAGAACCCUAUUUUCAUCUAAGAAAAUAAAGAAAUGAACUGUGAAAUUUACUCUAAGAAGAGCUGAUCUUGCGUGUGGAAGGGGAAUGAUAGCGAAAAUGUCAAUAAGAAUAUUAGAUGACUCCCAAAUCAUCUUAGCUAUCUGUUGGAAAAAGCAUUUCUCUAUGAAUCUUAUAGUGCAAGUUCUUUAAUAACGAAGUUGAUUCAUUAAACCUGACAAGUUCGCAAGACUGAAAAUUUGAUAAGCAAUGUCCAUUAUGUAAAAAAAUAAAUGUGACAGAUCGUAAAAUGAGGGCUGUUAUUUUCAAGUUCUGUCCAUCAGUAGGCAAUUCAUAUCAUUGUUUAUGACAGUGUAGAGAAACAGUGGAAUCAACUUGACAUUUUCCAACGAGACUCCAAUUUUCUUGACGGAUUUCAUGCUCGAUUUCAAUCUAUUAUCUACUUGGAUCCAUUUUUUUCCAAGCCUAAUUAGUUCUUGGAAGUGGUCUUUCAUGUUUAAUAACUAUUUUUACACUUCGGAAUUCUCCAUGUUCUACCUGGUAGUCUUGAAAAUUUUAAAUUAUAAAUGCAGGUUUGUGUUCGUUUGCCCAGAUGCUAUUUCGAAGCUGGAGUAGGCAUUGUUGAUGAAUCCUAGGAAAGAUGAUGCUCUGUGGUGUUUUGGAAAUGCUCAAACUGCUGCGGAUUAUGUACUCCGGACCAGAAUGAGGCAAGAGUUUAUUCCCAAAAGGUGUCUGAUGAGGUACUUUCACUGAAAAAUCUCAAAGAAAUUGUAUUGUUUUUCAACUUUCGAUGUGGAAUAAGUAUUAUAUGUUCUUUUUGCAGGAGUCGGGUGAUUUUGAAUCUGUAUAUUAUGCUUACCGUCGAAAUUUGAGUGGUUGCUCAGUUUGAAUUUACUAUCAGCUUAAGCUCAAUAUUCACUCGCUUAAGUGUGGGUAACCUUUUAAUCUCAGUAUAUCAUAGUUUUUCUUAUCUGAAUAUCUGAUAAUUGUUUUCCUUUGGCUACUUGAUUGUGGAUCUCAAUAUUGUUUGAUCAUUAGAGUAAUGCCUUUGGGUGGUUUGUGCUAUUUACCGGGAAUCUUAAUAUCAUGUUGUUGAUGCUAAUUAAGAACUGAAUUGAUCUUUAUGAUAUGUUUGAAUUUCUUGAUGGAUUGAUUGAACUUGAAAGUAUAUGCUUUGAUAUAAUUGGAGGAAAUAAAUGAAAAGGAGGGAAGUGAGAUUGAUUACAUAAUCUGUAAGUUGGGUUUAGUGACAUAUAAAAUUGCAAUUUCAAUGAUUUGAACUACUUUCUGGGUUGGAACGAGUUUCUAAAUUACUUGCAGAUUACUAUUUUUUAAAUUAACUAUAAAUUUGUUGAGAAACUCUGCACACAAUCUAAUUUAUAACUACAUUACUGUUAUAAUAUACCAUUAUAUCCACAAUCACAUUGAUUGAUGUUUUUGCAGGAAUGGCUCUUGAACUGAAAACAAGAGAAUUCGAGUCCAUCAGUAGCGAACUUCUGACACUUGCAUGACUUUUUGAACAGAAAAUGAGAAGGUUUACUAUUUUAGUUUCUACGUGUGCAUUUGUUUGGUAGAUAUUGAUUGAAUUUUAUUACUGUUCACAAAAAAACUAGGGUCAGCAACUUGCUUUCAUUCUGCUUGCGUUGGUGUUUGUAAUUCUUAGUUCUCGACUCAAGUAUUGCUUAUGAAAAAAAAUGAAAUUGCAUAAUCUUUCAUACAAUUUGCUUUCAUUCCGCUAUACAUACUCACGUGCAAUGCUAAUUGAACUCUUGCUAUGCCGCAGAGAGAAUUCAGCGUGUAGAAUUUGGCUCUCUUCAAAUGUCAGAUCCCCAUGGCUACCCUGUAUAUUUGCGGGCAACAGUUAUUAACAUCUAAUGCUUGAAAUUUAAGUAAGCACGCAACUGCUUUGUACGAUUACUAAUCCUAUUGCGAAAAACAGAACGUCACAAAAUACAGUGAAAUUGAGUUGCAAAUUGUCUAGUGCCUGAUACAAACUUUGACAUGAAUGUUGCUGUAGUCUUGACCCAUAGUAGAAAGAAUCCAGCAACUUCAGGACCAACACAGGAUUGUAGAAAAACGAGGCAAGAAAAGAGGGUUGAGAACUGAUUCAGGCUUCACAUUAUGCAAUGCAAAAUGGAAGUUCAAUUGCACACCAAAACAAUAUCAAUAGCCGGCAAUAAAUGUAGGGUUUAUGAUUGUCCUGUAAUUUAUUGUCAAUGCCUUUUCCACUAUAAAAAUCCAAUCAAUGAAGAUGAUUAAACAGUCGUGAAUGUAAAUUUCUAAAUAAAAAAGAAAACGAUAAAAACAGUGGAUGGAUUAUUCAGUACAGAAAGAAUAGCAGUAUAGUCGUUACCCGGCGAGAUGUUCUAUCACAAACUGCAUGGUGCAUGAGAAGGCCUGCAGCAACUGAAACAUUGAGAAAGAGUCGACCAUGCCUUUCAUUGGAUUACUGCAAUGCAAAUCUGACAAAGCCAGGGCCUCAUCACUUAUUCCCCUAAAUUAGACACUGCAUUCAAAUUAAUAUCGAAGAAGAACAUAUCUAAGAUGUAAUUUUCUUCAUGUUACUAACUUUUUCUCGGUUGAAUUUCUAAAUUCUUCAUCAGGUGCAAGUGUAUCAGAAAAUUUGAUAUUGGUCACAGAGACACACAAGUAUAUCAGUUUAAAAUUGAACAAAGAACCAGCGUGGAUGAUAUCGAAAAAUGUAAUGAUCACUAAAUAGGGAAAACGUAUAAUACCUAUUUUCAUUUCCGACUACAAUCGCAGUUGGGCAAGACCAAUCCAUGUCGUAUUUAGAAACUUUAAAAUACAAAAUGGAGGAAUAACUCAGAUACAUGCUUGAGAGUAAAACUGUGGAACAUCACUACUACAAAACCAUUUAAUAAUGUCGCAAUUCUAAUUGACAAAAAACAGCUCUUUCUGUCGGCUAUUACACAAAAUCCGACAGAAAAUGGGUGCAGCAGCGGUUAUACUAACCGACAGAAUUGCCAGCGUCAGGAAAUUAACUUUCCGAUAGAAAUUGCAUGAAAACCGACAUAACUUAUGUCGGAUAUAUUCGACAACAUGUACUCAACUAAUGACGGAUUUUAUUAAUUUGUCGGCAAAAACCGACAAUAAUUAACGGUAACAACCGACAAUAAUUAAUAAAUUACUGUCGGAUUAACAUUUUAAAAUAUUAAGAAAAACAACUUUCCGUCGGUCACAACCGACAGAAAAAUAUUAAUAAAUAAAUUGUUACGGUCUCAGGCUUUUUUUUUUAAUUUCUAAUUGUAUAAAUUUUUUUUUUUAAAUUUCUAAUUGUAUAAAAAAUUAAAUACAAUAAAAGAAUAAAACAAAACGAAAUAUGCAUUCAAAUAUAACGUUCGAUAAUGUCAUUUAAAUCCGCCAUAACAAAUAAAGUUGACAUCAAAUAUAAAAUAACCCAAAAUACGAUCAUCUGCAUCCGCCAUAUUACAUAACUACACAAAAAACAUUCGCCAAAGUAGACAAAAGUGUCAGACAUAACCGUAAGGAAAACCAACAAACUAUUCAACAGAUCCCGAGCCUUCCACCGAUCCGCCCUGCGCUCCAGAGCCUUCUGCCGAUCCUCCCUGUGAACCAACACCUUCUGCCGAUCCUCCCUGUGAACCAACGCCUUCUGCCAACCCUCCAUGUGCUUCCAAAUACCUCAUCACAUCCCCAUCAAAACUUCCCAUCACCAACCCAGAUAAGAAACCCGAUGAUAAUCCACCAUUGAAACCACCUUGAGAAAAAUGUGCGUCACCGGGAGAAGCCAUCUUCGGUCGAUAUACUGGCAUUGGAUACUGGGGCUGGAAAGGCAUAUGGUGCAUGGAAUAUACAGGCGCUGGUGGCUGCAAUGGGGCUGAAUGCUGUGAUGCCUGAGGGCUGGGUGGUGGCCGAAUGCUUUGAAGCCACAACAUUAUUUGAUGUUGAUUCAUCAACAUCUGCUGAUUCAUCGCCUGCUGCUGUGAGGUCUUUGAUUUCUCUAGCUCAACCAUUACCUCUGCCAACUUUCUGGAGGCUUCUUCCUCCCUCCUCCUCAACUCGUUGUUCUCAGCAACCACCUUGGCAAAUGAACCUUUGGAUGAACUCCUGGAUGACCUGGAACCUGAAGAGCUUGCAUAUGACACCAUUUCUGGUAUCACCCCAUGGCCAUAGCCUCGUACCCUAUUUCUUGUCUCAGACCCCAUCUGCUCAACAUAAAUCUGUGUUCGUACGUCCGACGUGUCCUCUUGCCCAGACUCAACAACAAACUGAACUUGACUCUCCAUAGAUGACUUUCAAAACAAUAUUUAAACAAAACAAUAAAAACAUUAUUAUAGAAAAAUAAUGUGAUAAACAGAUCCAGCAACAGACUGAACUUGAUUCAUAAAAACAGCUUCAUCAAACCAAACAGAAAGAUACACAAGUUUUACAUUAAAAAUAGAUUCCACGUUUAAUUUAUAUGUUCUAACAAAUCCAAUGACAUUUUUAAAAUAAUGUGAUAAACAGAUCCAGCAUUCCAAAUAGAAAGGAAAAUAUGAAUUAAAUACAAAGUCAUAAUUCAAAUAGAGUUCAAAAUCAUUUACCCCUCUCUGUUGGGAGGAUUCAUCAAUCCAUGAGUCGUCUUUCCUGGUAUGAGUUGCUCGAAAAAAAGAUAUGGGAUCCGGCUCCUUCCCAUGCUUUCUCUUCUUUAAAUCGUGAAAAGAGAACAACAAAAUCCAUAUUAAACCCAGUUUAUAUACAAAAAUUAAAAACACAACUUAUAUUAAAAAUUAGCAACACUUACAAGUUCCUCACGAACCCGAGCAAAUGUUUUGGAACCAGUCGUAUGGUUCAUCGUUUUUGACUCCCGAUUAAACUUGUUUUUCUCUGCCACCUCCUGAAAGUUAAAAAAAAAAAACAUUAUAAUACAAACAUUUCUACACCAAAAAUCAAACCACAAUUUUUAACCUUUGUUUUUGGAUUAUCCCAAUACGCUAACAUCUUAGCCCACUGACCACCAUCCACACCAGGGGGAGGUUCCAAGCGCUCUUCCUCUUGUCUUUGGUGUAAUACUCUGCUUUUAAGUUGUUACGAUACUCCUUGUAAGCAUGAUCCGCAACAUGGAGGGUCAUAUUGCGAAUCAAUGGAAUUCUAUCCAAGUCUUCAUCUAGAAAAAUGAUAUAUCCCUACAAUAAUAAAAACAACCAUGUUACAACAAAUCCGAAAUAAGUCUUGGUUGAACUAUAGAAAUACAAACGAAAACAUAUACCUUAAUUCUUUCCCACAAACCAUCCUUAACAUCUUCAGGUACCAAUCUCCAAUCCUUCUUCAAUGGAAUAAGUCUUGGAUCCUUAACCUCUGAAGCUACCAAUUUCGAAAACUCAGAGGCAUUUUCACUAACACAUUUCUCUUUCGAAUCAAAUAGACAAAGCUGUUUCUCUUUCCACUUUGGAAUAGCAGCUCCACGGGUCCUACGUCCACUUUGUUCCUCCAUGUUAAAGGGAAGAAGAGUAAAAAUGGGUAGCAGUAAAAAUGGGAUGGAGAAGAGGAACUGUGUAGAAAUGGGAUGGAGAAGAGGAAGAGAGUAGAAAUGGGAACAAAGUAAAAAUGGUGAAGUUCAACCAGGAAGUCAGCUAAAGUAAAAAUGAGAAAUAAAUGAGGUAAACAAAUGUUGGCGGUUAUAUCCGCCAGUAAGUAUAAAUCCGACAGAAUUUUCAAACAUUGUGGCGGUUAUAUUCGCCAGGAAAAGAAAAUCCGACAGUGUCUGACAUUAAUAUGUCAGACGGUGCAUUUAUGAACAUCAGUUGGCAGAUAUAUGAAUGUCAGAGGAUGCAUUUAUGAAGGUCAGACUAGUGUCGGGUAUAUCCGACAAUAUUACUAUUUUGUGUCGGUUUUAUCUGACACAAAUAUUUCCUCUGUAUUUUGUUUUUGCGCCUUUAAUAUUUUUGAGUAACGGCGUGGGAAAAAUCCCGCCCAAUUUUUUUUUCCUUUUACUGUCGGUUAUAUCCGAUAGGGAUGUGAAUAAUAAAAAAAAAAAAUGAAACCAUGUGUUUAUACGAAAAUAACAUUUUAAAUUUUACCACAUAAACUAAAAUAUUUUAAAUAAAAAUCACCACACAAAUUAAAAUAUAGUCUAAUUAUUACUUAAAAAGCAUAAAGUAAAUUAUAAAACUAUUCCAUUUCAUCUUCUGUUAGAUCAUCGACGACAUUGACAAAAUCAGGGAACUGGGUAGGCAACGGUAAUACUUCGUGAAAAGGAGUCUCUUCCACGCCAACCCUUGUAUGCAAAUUUUCAUUGUCAAGUAAACGAUCAUCCAAAUCAGGUAUGGCAUAAUCAUCAAGUGCAUCAUUAUCCUCCAAUACGUCAAAUAAAUCUCUCGGCUGCGUUCAAAGAACAACAUGCCAAUCUUUUUCAAUUGUGUCCUCCACGUAAAAUGCUUGUAAUGCUUGUAAUCCUUUCACUAUUAACCCAUUCACACUUAAACAACAUCACAGCUCGACCUCUAUCUCCAACUUCGGUAGGGCCACAAUAUCUAACCUUAAACAUGUCUAUGACUCUGCCAUAACAAUUCACUUGCCCAAUUGCACCAGGGACAUUUGCAGGUACAAAGACACCACAAUUUUGAUUCUUAUGUUUAUCGUCCACAGAUUUUGUACGAAAUCUAAACCCAUGAAUAAUGUGACUUUUAUAUUUCGUCACAACCCUAGGAUAAUUGGCUAGCCAACGCAAGUCUUCAGAUAUCAAGUUGUCAUUAGCAUGACAUCUUGAAUUAAUCUGUAAUAAGUAAAAACAUAAAAGUUGACACAACAAAUGUAAACACAUCAUAAUUAAAAUAUAAAAAAAGAGUAAAAAUGUGACUGUUAUAUUAACUCACAUGUUGCCUGAACCAUUCUGGAAAUUCCUUCUUGCUUAGUUUUUUGAUUUGUCGAAUUGUUAGCCUUGCUCGACGAUGUUGAUUUUUCAAGAAUUCCUCAUGUUGCCUAGCCAAUCAAGUCCAAAUAUGCUUAACUAAUUUUUCAAAAUAAAGAAAAUUGAUAAACCAUUAAGACGUAUGACUAGAUGUUCUUACCUUCUAAAUGGGCUGACCUCAUCACAAUUAUUUAGAAUGUAUAUGUGGCAUUGAUCAAGAACAUUUAACUCAAGCUCCACAUUUUCUCCUGAACCCAUAUAACAUCCUUUAGAGGAAAAUAUUGAUAACCCACCAGAUACUCCACGUCCAAUACCAUCUUCAUUUCGACCUCUACGAGUGCGACGAGACUCGACAUCUCUAAGAUACAAGGAACAAAAGGACAAGCACUCAUCCACCAAAUAUGCUUCAGCAAUAGAACUUUCAGGAUGACCCUUAUUAUGAACAUAAUGCUUCAGUGUUUGCAAAAACCUAUAAUUAUAAUACAAAACACAAAUUAUUAUAAUUACUAAUAAAAAUUAUCAUUAGAAAUUAACAUAUUUUAUAAAGAUUUGUUAAUUACCGUUCAAUUGGAUACAUCCAUCUAUAUUGAAUAGGCCCUGCAAUAGCGGCUUCAUCUGCCAAGUGAACUGGGAGGUGCAUCAUUACAUCAAAAAAUGCAGGCGGGAAUAUCUUCUCCAAUUGACAUAAUGUCAAGGCAAUUCUUGAAUUCAAUUGCUUGAAACCUUCCUUGGACUCCUUCUUGCUACACAAUUGUCUGAAAAUUGCACUCAACUCUAAUAAUAUCAUAGUAACUGAUUUAGGCAAAACCGCACGUAUUGCAAGCGGGAGUAACUGCUGCAUUAAAACAUGACAAUCAUGGCUUUUCAAUCCAUGUAUUUUUCGUUCAUUCACAUGCACACAUCGUGACAAAUUUGAUGAAUAACCAUCGGGAACCCGAAUAGUAGCCAACACUUCACAAAAUGCAGUUUUUUCUUCUCUUUUCAACGUGAACAAUGCUGGAGGUCGAAAUGUUCUAUUUCCUUCCCUACGUGGAUGUUGUCCAUGUCUUAUGUUCAAGAUUUCAAGAUCUGCACGUGCAGCCAAUCCAUCCUUAGACUUUUUAUCCAUAUCUAACAAUGUUCCCACUACAUUGUCACAUAUAUUUUUUUCAAUAUGCAUAACAUCAAGAUUGUGUCUAAUCAACAAAUGUCUCCAAUAAGGUAGUUCAUAAAAAAUAGAUUUCUUCUUCCACUGACUCUUACUACUUGUGCUGCUCUCAGUUCGUUUUCUACGUUGCCCAACCGAAGUAUCUUUCUUUGGUUUUCCAAAAAUAAAUCUCAAAGUACAAAGUUCUUCAAGACAUUGUAAACCAGUCCACUGCCUUGGUGCAUUACGAUGCUCUCGUCGACCAUCAAAAGAUGUGGUUUGCCUUCGAAACCUAUGAUCAGCAGGAAGAAAGCGUCGAUGCCCUAAAUAGCAAAUCUUACGACUCGCCGGCAAAUAAAUAGAUUCUUUAUCAUGCAUGCAAUGUGGACAUGCUUUAUAUCCAUGUGUACUCCAUCCUGAUAACAUUCCAUAAGCCGGAAAAUCACUUAUAGUCCAUAAGACGGCAGUCUUCAUAGGAAAAUUUUGGUUGAAAUACGCAUCAUAAGUAGGAGUGCCCACCUCCCACAACUCAUUCAACUCAUCAAUCAAUGGACGCAUGUACACAUCAAUCUCUUUACCGGGGCUGCGUGGUCCUGGUAUUAACAGAGACAACAACAAAUUUGGUUGUUUCAUACACAUCCAGAGUGGUAAAUUGUAAACUGAAAGCACCACAGGCCAUGUGCUAUGGUCUUGCCUCAUUUUUCCAAAAAGAUUAAAUCCAUCACUGGCCAACCCCAAUCGAACAUUUCGAAUUUCUGAUCCAAACUCCGGAUAUAAAUUAUCCAAAUGCUUCCAUGUUGGAGAAUCUGAAGGAUGUCUCAUAAACCCAUCCUUAGGACAUUCAGUUGUGUGCCACCUCAUAUGCUCAGCCGUAUGCUUCGACAUAUACAACCGCUGCAAUCGUGGUUUUAAAGGAAAAUACCACAUAACCUUAGCUGCGAUUUUUUUCUAGAGCCAUUCUCUUCAUUGACAUUUUUAUAUCUUGAUUCACCACAAACUGAGCAUGCGGUCAACUCUGCAGUUUCUUUCCAAUAAAUCAUGCAAUUAUUAGGACACGCAUCAAUCUUCACAUACGUCAGACCCAAGUCAUUUAUAAGUUUUUUUGCCUUAUAACAAGAUUCAGGCAAACAAUCUCCAUCAGGCAACAUUUUUUUAAUUAACUCGAGUAACUUGGUGAAGAUCCCAUCCGACAUUCUUGCUAUACACUUAAUCUGAUACAAUCUUACAAUUGCCUCCAAUUUUUUAAAUUCUUUACAACCUGGCCACAAAUCUUGAUAUGCCUCUUCAAGCAACUUAAAAGUCUCGACCUCUUUCGGACGCUCUUCCCCAGAAAGGGGCUCAGUAGACGGCCCAAUACCUUCUUCCGUUAAUGGUUGGACAAAUACCUCAUUAAGAACAUCAUGAAUACCAGUCAACCGAUCUUCUGUUUCAAUAGAUGGCCCAACACCUUCUUCUCCAAUCCCCAUAUUUUGCUCUCCCAUGAAAGAUUCCCCAUGAUGUCGCCACGAAGCAUUUUUGUAAUCUUUAUCCAUAUCAUACAACACAAGAUGUUCGACAAUAGUUUUUCUAACAAAAGUAUAUUGAUUACAACAUCUUUUGCAAGGACAUCUAAACUUAUCGGGGCCAACACCAUUUGCAACUGCUUGAUCCAAAAACAAAUUAAUUCCAUCUGUAUACGUUUCCAAAUUUCGUGAUACUGUCAACCAACUCUUUUUCAUGUUUUACCACUGUACAAGAGCAAAUAUUACGUUGAAACUAAGAUGCCUACAAUCUUUCAAUCCCUAUCAUGUAGGCAUAACUAUUAGAAAUUUCAAUCACUAUCUUUCAACCUCGAACUAUCACAAUUGCAAUUUAAUUUCCAACACCUAUCACAGUAAAACAAAUUAAAAAACAAUAAAAGGUUAACAAAAAUAUGUUUAUCUACACUCUUCAUUAUUUAUUAAAUUUAAGUUUUGUAUAUCCUCAUAGCAAUUACAGUGAAAUAUUUAAUUAGUUAACAUAAUAUAUACCUAUAUUACUAAAUAUUACCAAUUUAUUUUAUAUUAAAUAUUAUCAAUUUAACAUAAAUAUUUACAAAUAAUAUUUAUCUCAGUUUCUUUAUAACAAUUUAAGUAAAUCAAAUAAAGUAACGGAACACAAAUAUUCCUAAUUUAUUUUACUAAUUAAAUUAAAAUCUCUGAAUAAAUAAUCAAAUAAAGUAAUGGAACACAAAUAUUCCUAAUAUAUUUUACUAGUUAAACAAACAAUUUAAACAUUAAGAAAUUCAGUAAUAAAACCUGAAUUAUUGAAGAAUUAUGUCGUCGAUCUACUCUUUAUGUAGUCAACCACCUAAAUAAAGCCCUUGCAAAAUCAAAUCAUAAAAUAAAAAUAACCCAUGAAGUGCUUGAUGAAGAAACAAAUAGAAGAUAAAAGUAUGGAAGCAAAAGAAAAUGCAAAACUUACUACGAGAUGAAGAGAAAAAUAAGAUGCAGUGUUUGAUGAAGAAAUAAAUAAAAAGUAUGAAAGCAAAAGAAAUGAAAAACUUACUGUGAGAUGAAGAGAACAAAAAGAUUGUUGAUGAAGAGCAGAAAAUAAUUGAAGAUUGUAGAAUGAAGAUGAAGAUUGUGGGUUGAAGUAAAGAGAACAAAAAGAUUGUUGAUGAAGAGUAGAAAAUGAUUGAAGAUUGUAGAAUGAAGAUGAAGAAGAGAAUGAAAUCUGAAACUGGAAAACAUUUGUCAUAAAAAUAAUAAACUAUUAAAUUUCUGUCGGUUAAAACCGACAGAAAACUCAAAUAAUAACGGCUAGAAUACUAAAAUGAUAAAGUAAUAAAUUUCUGUCGGUUCAAACCGACACCGUGCACUUCAAAACCGCCAAAAUAUAAAAAAAAUAUUUUCAAAAAAAAUUCAAAAUUCCUGGCGGUUAUAAAACAUUUGUGUCGUUUUUACCCGACAGUAAAUAUCCGACAGUAAUUACUGUCGGUUAUAAGCGACAGAAAGUUUCCUUUAUCCGACACUAAAUAAAUUAUGUGUCGGACAUCUGUUAUCUGAUAGUAUGACUCGUUAACCGCCACCACUGUCCGACACUUAAAGCUAAUAUUUUUCAAAACAAACAAAAUACACAGCAGAAGAAAGUGGAUAAUUACCGCGUCCGUUAUGCGUUGUGGCAAUUCGAUGCCCUCGCGAUUUCAGAACUUCAAAGCACUCAGCAGUAGAGUUCCAAAUUUCAAUGUCCAACCAUUUCUCCGCUCCCAUACUGACAUGGCGAUUGUUUCUAUAUAUGAAACAAGAUCAAGCUGAGGUUAACAAAGUUAAUUCGACAACAAAGAACCGGACAACUAAGCUCCUCCACGGUUUCCUUAGUCGGGUUCUCCGGCGGUUCUAGGGUUAGAAAUGUGUGUAUGAGUGUCGAUCGAGAGAGAGAGUAUCUUGGUUGGAAGGAAGCGGAGAGAAGGCGCUCAUAGUUCCGUCCCGUCCCAAGCUAACAUUAUACCAAACAACAAACGGAACAUGGGUAAGUUAUUUUAAUCUUUUGGUUUCGUUCCGUCCUGCGCUUACCAAACGCAGAACGGAACAACUCUCCUGUUCUGUCCUGCGCCUACCAAACAUAACAUGGAACCACUAUUCCAUCACGUUCCAUUCCGUCCCGUCCGCAUACCAAACGGUACCUUUAGUCCCAACUGGUGAGACCUUUAGACCAUAGUAUGAGGUAGAACUAAAAGUUACAAACUACUCUUCUUUACUCGAGCUGGAGGCAAAAAAUUCAACCUGGACUAAAAACAUGGGUCUGAUGUCUACAACUUCGCAAAAGAAAUCAACGGCUGAACUACGAUUUCUCCCUUUUAAAUCCUUUGACAGUCUCCUCCUAAUUUAUACUGUCACUUUGUGACUAGAAAAUAUCAAAUGAUUGGUAUAAUCUUCAUAAUUUUGGGAAAACAUCGUCAUUAUAGUUUUCUAAAAGUCUUCCAUUCUUCGAGUCUACUGUUAGUACUGAUUUAGUACUGAGGUGCUUUUAUAAAAAGUAGGUAUUAAAAAAAGCUAACCUAAAAAAGAUGUUUGGUAAAUACUUAAAAACAGCUUAUUUUCAUAAUUUUGAAUGGAAAAAAAAUGAAAACGUGAAGCAGCAAAAAUGAGUUUAUUCUCACAGCAUAACAAAAACAGUUUUUUUUCAAAACACAGUAAUACCAAACCAGCCCUUAGUCAACUAUGAAAGUGAGGAGACCCAUUUAUGGAUUUGCUAUUCUUAGCGAUAUAACUACAUAUAUGUUGGAGUUACAACCUCAAUCCUAUCGAUUAUACGAAAACCAAAAUAGAAUUACGUCACACAAGAACUACUAAACGUCUCAUUAUAAACCAGUUAUAACUGAAGCCUCCUAAUUGGAUAGUGCUUUUCCCAUGUUAGGCUUCUCUGACUGAGGUGAUGCAGAUACCAAAUUGGAGCGGUGCUGUUAGUGGAGGAAUCUGGUAGAAACGAUGAGUUUGUAGAUUGAAUUUGUGCAUGAUGAUAAUGAAACAUAAUAUGUUGUUUUCGUAGUUCUUUUUGCUUUCAAAGUUUAUUGCUCUGUUGUGUUCGUAAACUCUGGGUUCUUACGGUUCUUUGUCUCUCUUACUUCAGAUUCUUUACGUUUUAUCAUUCAUUUGUGAAGAAAUGGGUCGUAUGAAAUGGUAAGGCUUUGAGGAAGGCACUCGCCACCAAGGUGAGUUUCGUUUGGGUUUCUAAUGUCUAGAAAAUUAGAAUUGAUAAUUGCAAGCGAUUUUUUUCCGAGAAACAAUCAGAUUAUUAAAUUUAAGUUGCUAAUUGUUUUAAUUUUGUAUAUGCUGCAAUUAAAUCAGCACCCAUAACUGGAGGAGUCAAGAAGCCUGACUGCUACCACCCUGGAAUCGUCACUCUUCGGUAAAUUUUCAACACAAUAUAGUUCAAAUCCUCUAAAUCACGUUCUUGAAUUUUACCAUAUGUAUCGUGUUCUUUGCAUUUCGUUAUCUAAAUUCUGUUUUUUGAAUUUGGUUACCGGAAUCUUGCCUAAUGUUUGAUGAGGCCAGUGGCUUUGUAUGGCUGGCUGGUAUGAUUUGGGAGUGUUUUUAGUUAAUGGCAGACAUAGGACAAAGGUUUGGGGCAGGCGCAACGAAGUCAAGUGGGAUCAGGAAUUUAGGAUAGUAGAGUUUUUGCUAAUUUAUGGGAUUAGAAGUCUUUCUUUAUUUUAUGUCUUGGUGCGAUGAAAGAUAGGGUAAAUUACACUUUACCAUCUCAGAUUUGAAAUCUAUUACAACCUCAUACAACAUCUUCAAAAAAUUUCACUUUUAUAUCUUACGUAUUAUUUUAUUUCAAUAAAAUAUAUCUGUUACAUUUUCCAAUCUGUUAAGAGUUGACAUGCCAAUCAUAUUUGUGACAUGUGGGCUGUGGCUGCAAAAUUUGUGCCACUUAGCAAAAAAAAAAAAUUUUAUGAUUAAAAAUAUUAUAAUAUUUAUACUAUUAAAAAAAAAUUAAACUGAAACCCAGAAACCCAACCCCACCCUCACCUCCCUGCAACCCGCAACCCCCACCCCCACCGGAAAUUGACCCCAAAACCCAGCCCAUUUGAGCUACUCCACAUCGUCUCUUAUCUUCUCUGUCUCUGGCUUUUCAAUUCCAGAAAAUCCAUUCCAGAAAUCAGAGGGCAAUGGAAUCAAAAACAAAAACCCAAAAAAGUGCAAGAAACCCAGAGCAAAGAAUGGGGAAAUUCGGUCGGGAAUACGUAGCCCGAGAGGCCAAGGCAGUCGCAACAACCACCAAAAUCCUCUUCUUCUCCCGCUUCUUAUUCCCUCUCGACCCACCUGGCGAUGCCGCGAUGGUGGAGGUCAGAGAAUCCCACAUCCCUCUCCAAACUCUCGUCAAAGAUCUCGAGAAAAUCAUCCAAACCCUCGCGCUGGGGAGGUCUAGGGAACAGAUGACGGGGUAGGAGGAGGAGGCGUUGUGACUCCAAGCCAAUUUUAGGGGUGGAGUCGGCGCCGUUCUAGGAUGAGAGGGAGGUCGGGGUAACGGUUUCUAGGUUUUUGGCUUUUUUUUUUAAUUUUUUAAUUUUUAAUAGGGUCAAUAUUAUAAUAUUUUUUAAUCAUAAAUUUUAAUUUUUUUUUUUUUGUGAUUUGGCACAAAUAUGGUAACUACGCCAGCUCUUAACGGAUUAAUGAAUGAAAAAUAUAACAGAUGUAUUAUAUUGAAAUAAAAUAGUACAUGAAGGAUGUGAGGGAUAAAAGUAAAGAUAUUGUAUGAUAUUGCAAUAGAUCUCAAACUUGAGAUGGUAAAAUGUAAUUUACCCAUUAAAUAGGUGAGUAAUUUUAACUCUAGUUUAAGGUAAUAACAUGUGAAUUUUUCGUAUUACUGUUUUUUCCCUUUCUAUUAAAAACAACCCUUGAUUUAUUUGGUAGUGCAUUUCUCUAUCUGUGCUAUUGUAAUUGUUCUCAGGUAUACUGGAACUAAAUUUUUCAUGAUGCUCUUUCCUUUUCUUCUCAGUGAAAACACAUACUAAAGCAACAACGCUAUGGUGGCGGGAAUAAGCGUUCUCACAUAUGUAUGGAUGUGUGAUAUGAAUCAGGUGUGUAUGUACACCUUUAUACAUGCAUCUGUGGAAAUACAUACGAUUGAGCCUGGUUUUUGUUUUAAGUUUGUAUACUGGUUGUCAGGUUCUAGAUGUUUGCUUACCUAGCAGUGGUUAUUCUGAUUUAGUGGUUAAAAAUGAAAAUUUCACUCACAAUACGGGAUUAAUUGAGGUUCAUACAUGCAUUGAAGUUACUCCCCACAAAGUAAGAAAGUUGCAACAUUGAAUGAUAGACAUGCAAAGAAAGAAGGGAAGUGGGGGAGUCCGACAUGGGGUUUGGGAACUUUAAUCUGGAUAUGGAAAGUGAUGUAUACUUGUGAUGAAGAAAAAGAAAAUAAAUAAAAGUAGGGGUGUGCUAUCCACACACCCCAAAUUACUUCCCACACACCCCUUGUUAAUUUCUGUCCGUUGAUCUUCUUCAAUUCAUCCGAUCCGACGGCCGAAAAUUAAAAGGGUGUGUGAGAAGUAAAAUGGGGUGUGUGGAUAUCACACCCCUAAAAGUAAUGCUCUCUGAUAUAAAUCUGGUCGAUCGCUCAGAGAUGCGCAUUUCCCAAUGCAUGCAUGCAUGUCUCUCUCUCUCUCCCUCCCUGUGGCUGUGGGUCGAUCUGUGUGUUUCGGUGAUGGGUGGGUGUUUGCCUGCAGGCGUAACAAGUGCAUUUCAAUACCACUCAUACUUUAGGACAGGUCCAUUUCACAUUUAAUUUAAUUUGUUAAUGCGUAUUAAUAAUAUGAUCGAUUCAGAAUUCAAUCGAGAGGCUUGAGAGAGAUACUUGUCCCGAUGGAGACUACCUCACCACCAACAGUCACCCACAAUAUAUUAUGAUGUAGGCCUCUACCAUAACAAACGACACUGCAUUUGUCAGUUCACAGAAGAAAUCAUAAAAAAUCUUUUUCCUUAUUUUUUUCCCUUUACUUUUUUAGGUGCAUGCGGUCUAGAUUUUGGAAUACAAUACAAAUCUGGAAACAUAAUUUCCCCACCUUCAACUAUUGGUAAUGGUAAGGAAGCUGUAAUUACAAUUUAAGGAAGUUGAGUUUACAUUAUAAAUUGAAUGACAAUAUUAAGAGAGUAAUUCAAUUAAUUACUUAUAAUUUCAUGUAAGAUUCUUCCGUCCAUUAAUUUCAGUUUCAUUUUCAACAUCAGCAUCCCCUUCCUAAGGUAUGAUAUAUAUUUUUAGUAAUACGGUUUAGUGGUAUUUCUCUUCGCUUAGAAGUGAGAGAUCUUAGGUUUGAAUCUCGUGGAUGGUGAAUUCGAUACCAAAUUAGGUUGCUCCUUGUGUGGCUUUGUCGGACUCCCCCUCCUCCUAGUGUAAAAAUAUCGAUGUACUAAAAAAAACGAUAGUAUUAGUGGAGAGUUGGUGGAGAGGUGUUAAAGGGGAAAUAGAGUUGGUGACUCCACAACGUAAUAAGCAUUUCAGCUGUUCGAAACUCUAUAGAUCUCAACUAUUCAAAACCCUAAAAUUAGUUAUCCCAACAGGAUUUACAAACACAAAUUUUACAGAAGAUUUAUGGUAAUUCCAUGGUUCGGUACUGUGAUAAUUUCUAGUUAUUUUUUUUCUUUUUGCUCACUUUCCAGCAGACCUAUUGGAAGCUUAAUCCUAUCAUGCCGAAGGAGGAUUCAACCACAAAUCAACUUGAAGGGCGAAUGUUCAAAAGAAAAUUAAUAAGCCCAUAAGGACUAAUCGGAGUAGAACCAAGUGAGGAAGCUGGUAAUGGCCCGUACCGGCCCAAGUCCAAACAAUUAAGUCCAAUUAACUUCACCUCCAAUAUUAUUCCUUUUCGAUUGGUUAAGGGCUCGUUUGUAAUUGAUUUUAAAAUGACUGAAAACACUUAAAGUGCUUCUUGCAGGAAGCGCUAGUUAUGUGCUUUUUGCAAGAAAUACUUUAAAUGCUUUUCUAUGAUUCAUUUGCAUUUUUAUUAAGGAUUGAUUUCAAAAGCACUAUCAUUUGAAAACAAUUUCUAUCAUUUUAAAGUUAUAUGAAUGAGAUGAUGAUAUCUAAAGUAAGCUCAAUGUUCCUAAUCAUAAUUUUAACAAUAUUACAGGAAGAAUUGGAACAGAAAAUCCGUUCAGGAUACAACAUGCGGUUGCAUCUUUUGCUGCUCAUUUGCAUCACUACUACAGUUACUAUUUUCCGCAGCCAAAGACUACGAAACAAGCACAUUUCACUCCAUUGCAGAUGGCGAGACCUUAGUCUCAACUGGUGGAACCUUUGAGCUCAGAUUUUUCAUUCCCAGCUCUUCUGAAAACCGAUACGUGGGGAUAUGUUACAAGGAGAUAUUGGUUAUCACAUUUGUAUGGGUAGCCAACCGAGACUCACCCCUCAUUGAUUCAUCAGAUCUACUCACGGUCACCAUCCCUGGAAUUCUUGUCCUUUGGUCCUCGAACACACCAACAUCUGCGUCGAAUCCAGCAGCACAGCUUUCGGAUUCAGAAAUCUUGUUGUGACCGAUUGUAAUGAUCGUACCGACCCUGAGAAUUUUAUGUGGCAGAGUUUUGAUUACCAUGGUGACACAUUCCUAUCAGGUACAAAACUCAGUAGGAACACAAUUACCUGCUUUGCUUGUAAAAUAUAGUUCUUGAUACAUUGCCUUGCACGGUUACAUUACAUGUUCUCAGAAUAUGUUGUCGAUGGGUUCUACUAGAUAAAAUCUGACAUUUAUAGUUUUAGUGUUACGGUGCUCGAGAUAGUGAAUGGGAAGAGAAACAAAGGAUUUUCUCAUCCAGGCCACAACCUCAACCUGCUAGGACAUGUAAGUGCCAGUUGUCAAGUUGAUAAUUUUUCAUCGAAUUAUGCUAGAAGGACUAUAUUCUGACUGCAUUAGCUAAUGAUAUACAUUGUGUGACAGUGACUUCUCUAUUAACAUUUGGUGACUAUAACUCAUGUAAAAAAUGGAUUCGAUUCUGCUUAAAAAUAUAAAAUGUGGUUCGUCUAGCAUUAUUGUUUAUAUUGACUCGAUUAUUUAUACUUCUAUUUAUUCAGUACGAUUGGUGGUUGUGAUCUUUUAGGCAUGAAGUUUACACGUAGAAGGCAAGUCCAUUGAACUGCUCGAUACAUCGGUAGGAGACUUCAGUAAUCCACAUGUCGUUUUGCUGUCAAUCCAUGUGUCUUUUAUGCAUGCAACAAAAUCCGGCAGUAAUUCUGAUGUUGAGUGGUGAAAGUGCAUUGCCUCAACCUCAAAAACCUGGUUUUUAUAGUGAAAGGGAUCUAGAGGACCUUAUUUGUACCAUACUUGACCAAUCUCGAAACUACUGAGCACCGAUCAACGUUAUACCGUCAAGGACCCAGAAGAGUAUCCUUCCAACUAGGAGCCAAUCAUAGUGAGACACGUGUCAACAUCAGAAGCCAAUCAUAACACGACACGUGUCAAUAUCAAAACGAAGC